rnacentral:rRNA from 1 species
UACGUAGGCAGCAAGCGUUGUUCGGAAUUACUGGGCGUAAAGAGUGUGUAGGUGGUGCUCUAAGUUUGGUGUGAAAUCUCCCGGCUUAACCGGGAGGGUGCAUCGAAAACUGGAGUGCUCGAGGAUGGGAGAGGUAAGCGGAAUUCCUGGUGUAGCGGUGAAAUGCGUAGAUAUCAGGAGGAACACCUGUGGUGUAGACAGCUUGCUGGACCAUUUCUGACACUGAGACACGAAAGCGUGGGUAGCAAACAGG